rnacentral:lncRNA from 1 species
GAGCUGGGUGGGAGUAGGGCACGGUGUGCCUCCGCGCUUCGCCGCGGGGCAGCCGAACCCCGGAGGAAGGGGCGGAUCGGGCGCGGUGUUUGGGGCGAAGCUGGGCGCGCGGCGCUCGAAGCACUCACUCGGCGGGUUUCGUGGUUGGUGGAGACAGCAAGGGCACCCCGCAGACCGCACCCCUCGACCUAUAGGUUCGCAGGCCCGACUCGACGGCGUCCCCAUUGCUGGCCCAGCCUAUGGUCAUUGGGGGCCAUUUCUUGCAGAGAUGCCCAGCUCCCUGAAGCGCUCGCUCUUCUCCAGAGUUGGCCAAAGAUAUCAUCUCUUCUUUUGAUCACUGUUCCUGAUUGUGACAUUGUGCAAGUGUUAAAUUGUGUGCCUUUUGUUCCUGAAGAAAGAGUUGGUGCUAACAGUCCCCUACUCUGGCCUCUGGACCUAGCUUGAAGUUCUGGAUUAAUUUCCUUCUUCCUUGUACCUCAGCCUGAGCCUUCUGUCACCCAAAGGGUUCCAGCUUUUUUUCACUCAGGCCUCACUUUAUCUUCCAAGGUAUGUUUAGGGGUAGGAGUAGUCAAAAUUAUAUCUCUCACUUCUGUACUUGGGGCAUAAUGGGCAGAUCCUCAUUAAACAUUGAUUGGAUGAAUGUUCCUAGUGAACUCCCUCUUUAAAAAUGGUGGUUGGCAGUGGGUAGGCGUUUGUUUUUACUCCCCUCUCACCAGACCGUUUCCUAUCAGACACCUUGCUGUAUGUAUGUGGAAUGUUUUUCUAGUUCCUAGCCAUGUUGUAGUUUUUAAGUUAUGUUGUUUGAUUGUUUCAGUAGGCAGUUAGGAGGAGGAGGAAGUCAGAUGUUUUCAGUUGCCAUGUUCUUAUAGGAAACUACAGAUUAUUGUAAUACUUUUACAAAUUUGUAUUAUUUCAAGACUUAUUGAGAUGUUGGUCAAGUCUUAUGCUGUAAUAAUACAUAUAUAGAAGGCAGUAGUUUAAAUAGCACAUUUAAAACCAGUAAUCUGGGCUGGAUGUCGUGGCACACACCUAUAAUCUCAGCACUUUGGGAAGCCAAGGCGAGUGGAUCACUUGAGCUCAGAAGUUCAAGACCAGCCUGGGCAACAUGGCAAAACCUCAUCUAUGCAGAAAAAUACAAAAAUUAGCGUACUGUGAUGGUGUAUACCUAUAGUCCCUGUUACCUGGGAGGCUGAGGUGGGAGGAUUACUUGAGACUGGGAGGUUGAGGCUGCAGUGAGCUGAGAUCACACCACUGCACUUCAGUCUGGGCGACAGCGAGACACUGUCUCAAAAUAAAUAAAUAAAUAAAUAAAACCA